AGCAGCCGCGGUAAUUCCAGCUCCAAUAGCGUAUAUUAAAGUUGUUGCAGUUAAAAAGCUCGUAGUUGAAUUUCGGGGUUCAUCCGUUGGUCGGGCUUUUUGGUCUGUACUGGCGUGAUGGAUUCCUACCUUCUGAAUAACCGGCAUGUCAUUAAUUUGGUGCGCCGGGGAAGCAGGACUGUUACCUUGAAAAAGUUAGAGUGCUUAAAGCAGGCUAUCGCCUGAAUACAUUAGCAUGGAAUAAUGAAAUAGGACGGCAUGGUUCUAUUUUGUCGGUUUCUAGGAUCACCGUAAUGAUUAAUAGGGAUAGUUGGGGGCAUUAGUAUUCAAUUGUCAGAGGUGAAAUUCUUGGAUUUAUUGAAGACUAACUUCUGCGAAAGCAUUUGCCAAGGAUGUUUUCAUUAAUCAAGAACGAAAGUUAGGGGAUCGAAGACGAUCAGAUACCGUCGUAGUCUUAACCAUAAACUAUGCCGACUAGGGAUCGGACGAUGUUAAUUUUUAAUGACUCGUUCGGCGCCUU
rnacentral:rRNA from 1 species